GCAUGCUCAAAACUUUGAGCAGACAUCAGAUGGAGAGCUUCACCGGUGGUUGCACGUUUGUUUACUGUUUGUCCUGCACUUGUUCUUAGAUCUUUUGGU